ACCUCUUGGCAGUGGGGCAAGAAGACACCUGAUUGGUAGUGCUGCUCUUAUAUCUGUCAGGGGGUAAGCAGACAUACAGUCCUUAGUUCAUGAUGUCUGUGUUUGUAGCCAGAGCUGAUUCAUGCUUGGGACACAUUA